rnacentral:tRNA from 1 species
GCAGGUGUAGCUCAGUUGGUAGAGCGGAGGUGUGAUAAACCUCGCGUCGACGGUUCGAUUCCGUUCGCCUGCA